GGCCAUGGCUUAGUGGUAGAGCAUCUGCCUUUUCUGCAAAAAGUUCCUGGUUCAAUUCCUAUCAUUUCUAGGUAGAGCUA